GAAUAUUGGACAAUGUGGGCAACCCUGAUCCAGCCAUGCCGUGUGUGUGAAGAAGAUCUUCGGAUUGUAAAGCACUUUAAGUUGGGUGGAAUGACUUUAGUCGAAUACCAUGAAGCUUUGACGUUACUAUCAGAAUAAGCACCGGCUAACUCUGUGUCAUCAGCCGCGGUAAUAAAGAGGGUGCAAGCGUUAAUCGGAAUUACUGGGAGUAAAGCGCGCGUAGGUGGUUCAGUAAGAUGGGUGUGAAAUCCCCGGGCUUAACCUGGGAAAUGCUUUCAUAACUGCUGAGCUAGAGUACGGUAGAGGGUAGUGGAAUUUCCUGUGUAGCGGUGAAAUGCGUAGAUAUAGGAAGGAACACCAGUGGCGAAGGCGACUACCUGGACUGAUACUGACACUGAGGUGCGAAAGCGUGGGGAGCAAACA
rnacentral:rRNA from 1 species